GACGAACGCUGGCGGCGUGCUUAACACAUGCAAGUCGAGCGGUAAGGCCCUUUCGGGGGUACGACGAGCGGCGAACGGGUGAGUAACACGUGGGUGACCUGCCCUCAGCUCUGGGAUAAGCCCGGGAAACUGGGUCUAAUACCGGAUAUGACUUCAUGACGCAUGUUGUGGAGUGGAAAGCCUUGUGCGGCUGAGGAUGGGCCCGCGGCCUAUCAGCUUGUUGGUGGGGUGAGGCCUACCAAGGCGACGACGGGUAGCCGGCCUGAGAGGGCGACCGGCCACACUGGGACUGAGAUACGGCCCAGACUCCUACGGGAGGCAGCAGUGGGGAAUCUUGCGCAAUGGGCGAAAGCCUGACGCAGCGA
rnacentral:rRNA from 1 species